UCUCAGUUCGGACUGGAGUCUGCAACCCGACUCCACGAAGCUGGAUUCGCUAGUAAUCGCGCAUCAGCCAUGGCGCGGUGAAUACGUUCCCGGGCCUUGUACACACCGCCCGUCAAGCCAUGAAAGCCGGGGGGUGCCUGAAGUCCGUGACCGCGAGGGUCGGCCUAGGGUAAAACUGGUGAUUGGGGCUAAGUCGUAACAAGGUAUC
rnacentral:rRNA from 1 species